GGGGUUGUAGCCUAGAGGUUAAGGGCGUCAGACUCACGACCUGGAGGUCGUUUGUUCGAUUCCUGAUCCCA
rfam:Macrostomum lignano uti_cns_0004968, whole genome shotgun sequence.